AGGAAAGUUCUGGAAUCAGAGGACUCAAGUUCAAAUCCCAGCGCCCAUGUCAGACAAUUCACAACUGUCUGUAAGUCCAGCUCCAGGGGGGCGUGACGCCCUCUUCUGGCCUCUUUAAGCAGUACACACACACACACACACACACACACACACACACAAUACACAUGGAUUUGAAGCACUUUUUCUUUUCAGAGACUCUUCACAGACAUGGACGCUGGCUCCCACUCCAUUCAUAGUCUCUCUGUGGUGGCAUUCCUGUAAGACAUACUUCCCGUGAGCCCGAAAAGUCUUAAAUGUCACUUCACCUGUGUACAGUGAUAACCUCAAAUGUCCUUCAAGCCUCAGAUGUCAGGGGCUUUAGUUACUAGCCUAGCCCCUGUGUUCUCAGAGAGUAUAUACACUGACUCCUUUUUACCCUAUAUAAAAGUAUACUUAUAUACUAUAUAUAUAUAUCUCCCUAGAAAAGACUGAAGCAGCCAAGCUCUGUCAUUCCAACAGACUAUGCUCUGCACAGCACAGCCUUCACCUCAAAGGGCAUAAAGAUAAUGCAGCUCUUUUUAAAGGAUUUUUGUGUGUGUGUGUCAGAGGACAGUUUGUAGGAGUGGGUCCUUCCAGUGGUUAACCUGCAGUUUUCUAGACCUCCCAGGAGAAAUCCUAUUUAUGGAGAAAGGGCCCAUCCCGAGCCCCAAAGACCAUUUCAGAUUAAUGCUCUCAUCCCAUUUCAGACAUCUAGAGCUCCGCCAUUUAUCUUGCUUCUUAAAUGAACAGGAGGGGCAAUUGUGUCUUAGAACCUUCUAGGAUGUAACUCGGGACCCCAACAUGCUCUGUUGGCUAAGACAGCUGGCCACUCACUCUCCCUUUAAGAACCCACACUUCGGGACGUCCUGCCUCCGGCAGAUUUCUUUGAACUGCUUCCACUCAACUCUCUCUCAGGUGUGCCUCACUGUCUCCUGAACACCUUUCUCCUCUCGCUCAUGCUUAAGCCUGCAUUUAAUAUCGUUAACAGAGUCUCCACUCUAUAGCACGAACUGGAAAAUCCUCAGAUUCUUUUCAGCAUCUAUGGAGCAGUGAGUCCUGACUUGGCCUGCGUUGAGUUCCUUGAAAGUCUAAGGGAUUCUUCAGGCUGCUGAGGGCGGCCUGCCUUCCACUUGGUACAGCAGGCUUUCAUUCCAGCAGUUUGGGAAACUUACAACAUUAGUUUCUGCCUUAUGCCCUAAAUAUUCCCUGCCUCCCCCAGAGGACUCCGGUCCCACUUUUAACAAGCUUCAGAACAAAGCCGGAGCGAGGGGAAGGUUCAGCCGGCUCUGGGAAGGAGCCCCUGCUGCGUGUGGCUCCUGAUUCCCCAGUGCCUCACGUAUUAAAGUGAGGUGGGGGGGACAUCUUUCACCAUCACACAAAAACCCGCAGCCCGAGUGCUGUCCUGGUCCCCUGACCAGGGUUAUAAUAGGACCGUGCCACAGAUUCGCCCAUCUUUGUUCCUCCCCAGUAGGACCACGGGCCUUGCUGGUGUGAGCACCCUCACCAGGACAGGGCUAACUUUUGCACUGAUUGUCUAAUCUCAGCCUCUGGUGAAGUUGCGCCUCACUGCUAGGCUUUGCCUUCUCUCCUUUUCAUUUGGCCGGGCAGCCUCUGUUAGGCCGAGCAGACUUGUCACCGUUAGUUAAAAGUAAUUGUUAUUGUAAGCCCCCUGUAAGCGACAGUCCAUUCCUUUCAUGGUCAAACCCAGUAAGCACUCGUUUCAGCAACAGAAAGCAGAGAGUGGACAGAAGCAGAUCUUUUCAAGUGGACCAACAGCACCCGCAGCAGCGGGCUAACUAGCAGGCUCGUUAAUUACAUGCCUAACUUGUUGAUCUCCAUGGCCUGUGCGUUUUAGAGGCAAGAGAAGACUACUGUGUUUCCUCCCAUAGAGAAAAACAAGGGCCUCUGUUUCCCCGUUCCACCACUCAUAAUCAAAUACUUACAUUCUUCUACAAUGUUUCAUUUUCCCUCUCUGUGAACAAAGAACCUUUCUAGUCAUCAAAGUUAUGUAUUUGCCCAUAAGACAUAGGCUCCUGAAGCGUCCGUUCUGUAGCUGUGAGGGCUGAGUGGGUGUACUGCAGCUAUUUCUGUAGUUGAUAUUACUGUAAAAAUUAUAAAAGCACAAAACAGGCUAAUUUAAAGGGCCAACAUAAGGCUCAGCGCUUACUGAAUGCUGACCAUGCGCUAAGCAGGGUAUUAAAGACUUUGCACGAUUAAUUUUCAUCGCCAACCUUCGAAGUCUCAAGUAUACAUUCGUGCCGUGCCAUGGGGGAAACCAAGUUCAGAAAGUAGUAACGGUUUCUCUCCAGCCCCCACCCCACAGCUUGCCAAACCCCAGAGAAGACGAGGCGUCACAGCUGGGUGGAGGGAAGGGUGGCCUGGAUUCAUCCUGCCUGUGACUGGAGACAGACUCGGGUUCUCUUCUGGAAGCUCACACCAGCCUCUAGAGUUCUUUCUGUUGUGCUGUGUCGGAAGAUUACGAAACCGUGAACCUCUCCAUCCUGCAGUGUGAAUACAGGCCGGCCCUGCCUCCUAGAAGCACAGUAGAACCUUCCGGAGAACCUGGGAUGUGGCUCAGUUGAAGAAUUAGCCUGGAAUGCAUC
rnacentral:lncRNA from 1 species